CCACACUCGGCGAGGUUUACGUUGCCUCUUUUACUCUCACAUCCUGUCGAAAGCGUAAAUUGCAGAAACUCAACAUGCAACCAGAGCACUAAUAGUACGGGCCUCCAUUUCUCUCUGUUGUUGCUUUCUUUCUGAGUUCUGGCAAGGCCUUUGCGCAAAUUAAAUCCAGAGUUCCCUCCCUUGGACGUUGGGCUGACAGCUCUAAGCGACGUGCCAACGCUACUAAACGUCUGCAGAUUAGAAGGUCGACCAACUCGGGAUUACGGUCCUCUUGUGCCAACCGAGUAUUUCGCUUGGAGCCCGCUCCAAAAUGUUUUUUGUAUCACUUGCAUGGAAGACCUCAAUGGCAGAGCAGCUGAUUGUUUGUACCGGACAUGAGAAAAUAGAAAUAAAUAAUUGUCAGUAUGUAAAGAACUUUUUACCGGAGACUUCUUAGAUCUUGUUUUGUGUUUCUAGACAGGAAGAAGUACUGGACAAAGGUAGAGGAAGAAAGACACCAAAAGAAAGUGGCACUCAAAGCUUCGGAAACGACAGCAGCCAGAUAAAAGUGACGAAAGCGAGAGCGUCUGGACUCAAUCAGCGUCUGCUCGGCCUUCAGAUGAGGAAUGACAACAUGUGGCCGUUGAGGACCUCAAACCCCCUCAAAGUAGCCUUUCAAAAACAAGUUUUUGGUCUGGAAAUGAAACUGUAUGAUAGCAGAUGCUAAAUUUGUUAACUAGCGUCAAACGUCCCUUCUUUGUAGUUCAUAAUAUGAAUCAAAACAUGGCUGACUUCUUUCUUGAAGUUGAGUUGUUCAAGCAAACAAUCAGUAAAUGUGUCCAAUAAUAAAAAAAAAAAAAUGCUACUAUCAGCAUGUGUGGCUAGCUUCAAGUUGGCUAAUCAGAUAGCGAACCACACGCUAAACUUGCUAACUUGCUUCAAACUCAAUUUCCUCUAUAAUAUUAAUCAUAACAUGGGUGACUUCUUUGUUGAGUUGAGUUGUUUAAGCAAACAACCAAUAGUCGUGUCCAGGUUUUAUAAAGAAUUAAAAACAUGCCGCUAUCAGCAUGCGUGGCUAGCUUCAAGUUGGCUAAUCAGAUAGCGAGUCGCUCAGCCUGUGUUAUCUGGCCACGGUCCACCAGUCCGCCCAUUCUGUGUGUUGGUGCACUUUUCCAUGCGGUCAUAAAGGAAAAGUCGCGUUUGGCCUCCUGCAGCACUGUGGGAAAGUGCAACUCCUGCUUCCUCUGCUUAUUUGGAGCCAUCGGGUUAUAAAUGGACUUUUGCGAGGACUGCCCACAGGCCUCGAGUCACAUCGCUUGCGCUAUUCUCUCAAGGGUUCGGAGGGCGAGGUGCUGGGGGCUAAUUUCCAUUUAACAGAGGAAAAUAAAUAUGAGUAUAUAAUCGAGGAGACAAAGUCCUAAAUGUAGACGGGCCCUUAACUUGCUGUUUUACAUCGCUCAAUUAAAGUUAACAGAAAGGAGCCCUUUGGUUCAUUGUUUUCUGAAGCCGCUUUGAAAGGAGGAAAAAACAACAAUGGAGCUGAGUUACGGUUUGUUUGGAUUCAUUUAUGACACGUCAAACUGCUACUCACUUAUUUUCAAAUCCAGCCGCAUUCCUUGUGUUACGUAUCGCUGACGUUGGAGCUCUUCCAUGGUUAUGUGAGCGAUUCAAACAGAGGGUGAUAUGAGUCAAGACCGUCUUGGCCGAGCUUGAGAUCGAAAGCACAGCUGCACAGACGAAUCCAGAACCCGACAGGUGCCGCGUUAAAACCUCUCGGAACCGACCCCCCCCCGUUUAGCUUAACGCUGAUCCCCUCUUUCCAGACACUCCCGGAAUGCUACUUUCAUGACAUGUUGUUCAGCUCAAAGCUAAUCUGUGACCAAAGCAUCAAAUCUCUUCCUGGACACGCACGCGGACCACACACAGUCACCCACUUCAACCACCACAAAGGCCAGCGAGAGCAGUUGCAGAAGCUGAUGACUUGACUGCGCACACGGCGCUGACUUUUCUUAUCCUGCCGUGUUUGCGAACCGCGUUGAUACGAAACAGACUCUAGCAUUUGCUCCUCCCUUUGCUUUUCUGCCUUUUUGUGUCUCUAGACUCUGAGAACAAUAUGACUCUGCUUUCCCAUAGUGCCACCUCUGGAAUGUGUACUGUAGAGAUUUGCAAACACGACGGCACGCCGAGGACUUGGUGGCUGCUUGAUAACGAUGCCAAGGUUGAAGACCAGCGUUUCAGUUAUAUGUCAUAAAAACAAAUCUACCUGUAAUGACUCCGAAAUUAUGAGGGAGGAGGCACGGUAUCAUUUUUCAUUUUCUCUUCCUGCUCCUCUUCGGCCCCGUACAGUUAAAUCUUAACAUAACAUGACAGGAGGCUCGUCCUGACAGAAGUUUAUUGCCACUCCAGUGAGAGAUAGUCAUCAUGUUGACAUGGCUGAGUGGAGAAUUACGUAGUUACCCCCGUUAUGUGUUUAACCCACCGGGCGCUCCUAGGCUCCCACAUCCUGCUCGUAUCUGUGCCCUUGGUUCCCACAGCGAACGCGGAUGGGAAGGUUGCAAAAACGACCGGGAUGGGAUAAAAAUUCACCAUUUGUGAGGUCACAUGUUGUUAAAUCCAAAGCGGCAGCAGGGGCUCGUUCCAGCGGUGACCUCGCCGCUGUUCAUUUUGAUGGAGAAAACCAGGAAGUUCUCACACACAAAUAAAGGAUUUCCACGCAUGUCAGCCAAGAAAAACAAAUUAUUUCCCCAUUUGGAUUUUCAAACAAAUGUCCCGCUGAUGGCUCCCAUCCCAAACUUCUGUAUAAUGACGAACAAGCCCAGAAAAGAUUCCACAUAGGU